AGUUGAUGUAGAGAAUAACCAGUGUUCGUCAUGGGUUACAAACGAGUGCACUGUCCCCUGGUCCCUUUAGAUGAACAAAUGGGAUGAAAUAGUUCGCGUGCCUUGAUAUGCUUUCACUUCUUUUUCUUGAAGCAGUUAAUGAGGAACCAUUUAGGAGUUAGAAUUGUGACGUUGCUGCUGGUUUCAUAUGUUCUUCUAAAAUGUACUACACGGGACUGAUCACCUGUGGCUUAUACAUCAUUCUAAGUCAGGAAGUUAAUGUUCAUUUUGAGUAUGGAAGAGUGCAUAUACCCGUGAAUGAUCAUCAGUGAUGCCAAAAAUUUCUAGAUGAAGGCACCUUUAUUUCUUGCUUCAAGUGUGAGCAUGGCUAUUUGAGGUUAGACUUAGUAUUUUUGCUUCCAAGUGUGAGCAUUGAUUGCACAAUUUCAUGUAAUUACCAUGGAAGUUAGUGUUUGAUGUGGUGGAUUUGCCUUUUCCCUCCACAGUUAUUGUAAAUAUCUUCAGACAAGAAGGUCUUGAGGUGCUUGGAUGGAGGCCUGUCCCUGUAGACUCAUCCGUAGUUGGUUUCUAUGCAAAAGAAACCAUGCCUGACAUACAGCAGGUAUUUGUGAGAGUUGUAAAAGAAGACAGUGUUGAUGACAUUGAAUGAGAACUAUACAUUGCCGGAAAUUGAUUGAAAAGGCCGCAAGUACGGAAAACUGGGGAAAUGAGCCCUAUGUUUGUUCUCUCUCGAAUCAAAUGCUAGUUUACAAAGGAAUGCUUCGGUCAGAAGUUCUUGGUUUAUUUUACUUGGAUCUUAAGAAUGAUAUGUAUGCAUCAUCUUUCGCUAUAUACCACAGAAGGUAUAGUACAAACACUAGCCCCAGGUGGCCUCUUGCUUAGCCAAUGAGGUUUCUUGGUCAUAAUGGAGAAAUCAACACCAUACAGGGCAACUUGAAUCGGAUGCAAUCUUGUGAAAACUCAUUAAAGUCCCCUAUUUGGCAUGGUCGUGAGAAUGAAAUCCGUCCUUUUGGUAAUCCCAAAGCGUCGGACUCUGCAAACCUUGAUAGUGCAGCAGAAGUACGUGUCAUCUUUCUCGUGGUUCAUCAUAGGUUAUUUUUGUUUUUCGAACCUUCACUAUCUUCAUGCUUAUACACUUUCAUGAGUCAUCAUCUUAUCUUUCACUUUAUUAGCUAUGAAACUUGUUGGAUAAUUAAGAAAGAAAUUGAAAAUGUGAUUUUUUUUAUAUAAAGGAGUGUGUAACUUAGGUCAAUCAGUUGCUUUUUGUCAGUGCUUUUUUGGAUGCUACUGAGUGCGUAACUUUUCUAUUAAUGUGUAGAAUGUUCCAGAUACGAAGUCUUUUUGUGUGGUCAUCUAAUGUGGCAUAUAUAACUACGUGUUCCUCUCUUUAUUGCUGCAUAAUGAUGCGGUUGAGUUUAAUUUGACAGUGAAACCUAGACACAACUCUCCUGCAAUGAUAACGGCAAUGUAUCCAAAAGCUUAUGCUGUUGGGCACACAAACUAGAAAUGUAUAUCUACUACAAAUUAUGACCCAAAAAAAAAAAACUGGUGCAAUUUGUUUGCUAUAUGAUGUGGUUAUCGAAGCAUGUUGAUAUCAAGUGAGCUAGUCUCUGUCUUCUUAAGAUAUAUUUCCAGAUAAAAUUUAUUAUUGUACAUUUUUUGAAGCUUUGUGCAUUUGUGGUUGGUUAGUUUAGAAACCUUUCACAUCUUUUCAAAUUUUGAGCUUAAGAUUAAUAAAUUAAGUCUUAAAUAAAAUUUGAAAUUAGUAUAUGCAAGCCUACAGGCCAAUACUUAAAUAGGGCCAAUAUUUAAAAAUUGUUGUUAUGUGUCUUUGGUGGUUUUGGUGUCUUAACCUCCUUCGUCCUGUCUCUCUUCCAUGAUUGCGAGAUUCGUUUGCUGGACUGAUGUUUACCACCUUUGCUGAAUUACAAAGCUCAAUGGGGAACACGAUAGGAGAGCGUUACGAUCACUUCUAAUGACCGAUAAAGCAAGACCCUAAAUUAUGCAUUCUCUGUUGUAAAAGUUCCCCAUGUUUUCUGUGCAUCUUUAUUUCUUUCAUACUUUUGCCUGUUUUUAUCUAUGAUUGAAACCAAUGGAUGAUCAAUCUACUGUUUCAGUCUCUUGGUUUCCUUCAUGAAUCCUCAUUCUCUUUGUUGGUUCAGUUGUUGAUAAGAAGUGGCCGAGCUCCUGAGGAGUCUCUAAUGAUUCUUGUUCCAGAAGUAUAUAAGAACCAUCCUACUUUAUCGAUCAAAUACCCUGAGGUGGUUGACUUUUAUGAGUACUACAAGGGUCAGAUGGAGGCUUGGGAUGGACCAGCAUUGCUUUUAUUCAGGUGCGGUACCUAAAGAUUAUUGAGAAGACCGGCUACCAGGCUCUUCCCUAGGUGAGAUACAUUACAAUGGCAAGCAAGUAUGAACUGAGCCUAAUUUGAGGUAGAUUUACUAGACAUGCCAAGACUGAUGGACAAUGACUGAAGCUUCACAAAAUGCAGGCUUUUCGAAGAGUGGUUUGAUGCGGAUAAUAUCGAUUUUCUUGUUUUUCGACGUUGUAUAAUUAUUCUUUUGGUUGGGCUUAAUUGUUGGUGGUUCCCCAAAUAUGUAAUACUCACAUACUUUUGAUAGAUUUACCAUUUUGAUAUUGUGAAUGAAUGUACUGUCGAGAUCUUCGAUUAA